CUGGUGUCUGCUGGACUGAAGAGUCCACAUUGCAGACUGGAAACUCUCAGUCUGUCAGGCUGUCUGGUCACAGAGGAAGGCUGUUCUUCUCUGGCCUUAGCUCUGAGCUCCAACCCCUCCUAUCUGAGAGAGCUGGACCUGAGCUACAAUCAUCCAGGAGACUCAGGAGUGACGCUGCUGUCAGCAGGGCUUGAGGAUCAUGACUGGAAACUGAAAACUCUCAGGGUGGACCAUGGUGGACCGCAGUGGUUGAAACCUGGUGUGAGGAAGUAUGGCUGUCAGCUGGAACUGGACACAA